AACGCACAUUGCGCCCGCCAGUAUUCUGGCGGGCAUGCCUGUUCGAGCGUCAUUUCAACCAUCAAGCGCCUCGCUUGUGUUGGGGCCCUGCGGCUGCCGCAGGCCCCUAAAUCCAGUGGCGGGCUCGUCGUGGUACCGAGUGCAGUAAACAUCCUCGCUCAGGGAACCCGACGGGUGCCGGCCGUAAAACCCCCCCUUCUUAAGGUUGACCUCGGAUCAGGUAGGAAUACCCGCUGAACUUAA
rnacentral:misc_RNA from 1 species